rnacentral:rRNA from 1 species
UAGGGAAUCUUCGGCAAUGGACGAAAGUCUGACCGAGCAACGCCGCGUGAGUUAAGAAGGUUUUCGGAUCGUAAAACUCUGUUGUUAGAGAAGAACAAGGACGUUAGUAACUGAACGUCCCCUGACGGUAUCUAACCAGAAAGCCACGGCUAACUACGUGCCAGCAGCCGCGGUAAUACGUAGGUGGCAAGCGUUGUCCGGAUUUAUUGGGCGUAAAGCGAGAGCAGGCGGUUUCUUAAGUCUGAUGUGAAAGCCCCCGGCUCAACCAGGGAGGGUCAUUGGAAACUGGGAGACUGGAGUGCAGAAGAGGGGAGUGGAAUUCCAUGUGUAGCGGUGAAAUGCGUAGAUAUAUGGGGGAACACCGGUGGCGAAGGGGGCUCUCUGGUCUGUAACUGACGCUGAGGCUGGAAGGCGUGGGGGGCAAACAGG